rnacentral:rRNA from 1 species
UACGUAGGGUGCAAGCGUUGUCCGGAAUUAUUGGGCGUAAAGAGCUCGUAGGCGGUUUGUUGCGUCGGCUGUGAAAGCCCUGGGCUCAACCUGGGAACUGCAGUGGAUACUGAGAGGCUAGAGUGUGUCAGAGGAUGGUGGAAUUCCCGGUGUAGCGGUGAAAUGCGUAGAGAUCGGGAGGAACAUCAGUGGCGAAGGCGGCCAUCUGGGACAACACUGACGCUGAGGCACGAAAGCGUGGGGAGCAAACAGG